rnacentral:rRNA from 1 species
UACGUAUGGUGCAAGCGUUAUCCGGAUUUACUGGGUGUAAAGGGAGCGCAGGCGGUACUGCAAGUCUGGUGUGAAAGCCCGGGGCUCAACCCCGGGACUGCACUGGAAACUGCAGGACUGGAGUGUCGGAGGGGUAAGCGGAAUUCCUGGUGUAGCGGUGAAAUGCGUAGAUAUCAGGAGGAACACCGGUGGCGAAGGCGGCUUACUGGACGAUGACUGACGCUGAGGCUCGAAAGCGUGGGGAGCAAACA